AACUUUCAACAACGGAUCUCUUGGUUCUGGCAUCGAUGAAGAACGCAGCGAAAUGCGAUAAGUAAUGUGAAUUGCAGAAUUCAGUGAAUCAUCGAAUCUUUGAACGCACAUUGCGCCCUUUGGUAUUCCGAGGGGCAUGCCUGUUCGAGCGUCAUUAUA
rnacentral:rRNA from 1 species